GCUAGGGGAGCCUGUCAAAGGCUGAGAGUGGGUUCGUCCCAGACCCUUGGAACCUGAUGCAGUUGGUACUGCCGUAGGGAAGCGU
rnacentral:ncRNA from 1 species